CCCUUAGAUGUUCUGGGCUGCACGCGCGCUACACUGAUGCACUCAACGAGUUUACGACCUUGCCCGAUAGGGUUGGGUAAUCUUUUUAAAAUGCAUCGUGAUGGGGAUAGAUUAUUGCAAUUAUUAAUCUUCAACGAGGAAUUCCUAGUAAGCGCGAGUCAUCAGCUCGUGCUGAUUACGUCCCUGCCCUUUGUACACACCGCCCGUCGUUCCUACCGAUUGAGUGGUCCGGUGAGGCUUUGGGAUCUGAGCGGAAAGAGCGUUUCGCUGUUUCUGCUCGGAAAACUCAGUCGAACCUUAUCAUUUAGAGGAAGGAGAAGUCGUAACA
rnacentral:rRNA from 1 species